rnacentral:RNase_P_RNA from 1 species
AGGUGGUGCGAGGCAGCCGCGGGCGCAACGUGUUGUGUCCGAGGAAAGUCCGAGCACGGCAGGACACGGUGGUGGGUAACGCCCACCCGCCCCAUGAUUCGUUUCGCGUCUCGGGGGCGAGGGAAAGUGCCGCAGAAAGCAAACCGCCGAUGGCGACGCUCGCGUCGCACAGGCAAGGGUGAAAGGGUGCGGUAA